AGUCAAAGUACUAGUUGCAACUAUCGGAUAACAAUCUGAAGGCUGCACUAAGGUCAAAUGGCCAUGCCAAGGUGGUGGAACUAAGUCUACAGAUGUUCAAGAGCACCAAUGACCAUGAAGUAUUUGGUGCUGCAUCAACCACUGAGGAAAUAGGUUGUCCCUUUGUACAUCACCAUGAAGAUCAAUCAAGGAAAAACUGAUUGUUGAGGCAACCCUUCAGCAUCUAAUCUAUCACAUCCCCUUGAACAGGAAGUAAAAUUCUCCAUCUCCAGUUCUGGUGUGGUGCACUCUGAG